AUGGUGAUGGUGCUGGAUGCGUUUGCAUCCUACCUGGGGGACUACCUCAAGCAGGUGGUAGAAGAUGAGCUCGGAACGAGGCUGGGCGUGUCGGGCGAGAUCAACAAGAUGGGCGGCAAGCUCCAGGACCUCAAGAACUUCCUCGCCGACGCUGAUAGGAGGAACAUCACGGACGAGACUGUGCAAGCCUGGGUGGGCCAGCUCAAGCGUGCCAUGUAUGAAGCUGCUGACAUCCUCGACCUCUGCCAGCUCAAGGCCAUGGAGCGUGGACCAUCCACCGCAAUUCCAGGGUUUUUCAAUCCCCUGCUUUUCUGCAUGCGGAAUCCCUUCCAUGCUCAUGAAAUCGGCACCCGCAUCAAAGCGCUCAACAAGAGCCUUGACUCCAUCAAGGAGCGGAGUGCUGCUUUCAACUUUAUCAACCUCGGAUCCUACGAGGAUCAUAGCAGCAACAUCCACGCCUCUGGUCGUGGCAAUCCUAGCCACGAGACAUCAGGGGACCUUGACCGGUCCUGGUCAGGUCUGGUUGGGGACCAGAUCAAAGAAGACACAAGAGCACUGGUGUCCCAGAUCAUGCGCCCAAGAAAUGAGGUCAACACCAACAUCACAGUGUUCGCCAUCGUAGGUGUUGGUGGGAUUGGCAAGACCACCCUUGCCCAGCAGGUCUUCCAUGACGAGGUCAUCCAAUCUGAGUUCAGCAAAAGGAUAUGGUUGAGCAUCAACCAAAACUUCAGUGAGAUUGAGCUGUUGACAAGAGCCAUCAGUGCAGCCGGAGGAAACCACCUGCCGGCUGGAAAUGCAAAGGCUACACUUCACCAAACUCUCAAGGACACCUUGAUUGGCCACAAGACUUUACUGGUAAUGGAUGAUGUGUGGAACCCUGGAGCAUGGGAGGGUGUGCUCAAAAUACCCUUUCUUAAUGCUGCUGCUCCAGGCAGCCAGGUCCUCAUCACCACUAGAGAUGAAGGUGUUGCCCUAGGGAUGGCAGCCACAUGGCCUUACCAUCACGUUGGCACAUUAGGGCUUGACGAUGCUUGGUCGCUGCUAAAAAAGCAGGCACUCUCAAGUGAGAUAGAUGAAGACCAUCUCAAUAUGUUGAAGGAUGUCGGAUUGAAAAUUAUACAGAAAUGUGGUGGUUUACCUCUCUCCAUCAAAAUAAUAGGAGGACUCCUGCGUAAAAGGGGGGAGCUACGUCGUGACUGGGAGCAUGUUUUGGAUGAUUCUAAAUGGUCAAUAACUAGAAUGCCCCAAGAGCUCAACUAUCCAGUAUACUUGAGCUAUGAAGAUAUGCCUCCUUAUCUGAAGCAGUGCUUCCUAUACUACUCUCUUCUUCCUAAAAGCAGAAGUUUCCAUGUGGAUCAAGUAGUUGGGAUGUGGAUCAGCGAAGGAUUUAUUCAUGGGAACUCGAAUGAUUUAGAAGAAUCUGGAAGAAAUUACUACAGAGAGCUGAUAUCUAGGAACCUUAUAGAGCCUAAUAUAAAUGAUGCCGAUCAAUAUUAUUGUAGCAUGCAUGAUGUUGUUCGUUCAUUUGCUCAGUAUAUGACUAGAGAUGAAGCAUUCACAGCUCAAGACGGAGACAAUGAUAUGCUAACUAAACUUAGCUCGCAGAAGUUUCUUCGGUUGUCUAUGCAAUCAGGUGACCUUGACUGGAAAUCUUUGCAGGAGCAGCAAUCAGUGAGAACAUUAAUCUCAACUACUCAGAUCAAUUUGAAGCCUGGUGAUUCAUGGGCUGCCUUUUCUAGUCUACGGACUCUACACAUAGAAUCUGCAGAUGUGGCUGCACUGACUGAAUCGUUGCAUCAGCUGAAGCACCUGAGAUAUCUGGCACUAUUAAAUACUGAUAUAUCUGUACUUCCAGUGAACAUUGGCAAGAUGAAACUAUUGCAAUUUCUUGACCUUGGUGGAUGUACAACAGUGGUGAAUCUUCCUGAUAGCAUUGUGAAGCUUGGCCAGCUGAGGUUAUUUGAUCUUCCCUACACAAAUGUGAUACCUAGAGGGUUCCAUGGUCUGACAAGUAUGAGGAGACUAUUUGGAUUUCGAGCCCUCAUGGAUGGUGAUUGGUGUAGUUUGGACGAGUUGGGGCCUCUUUCCCAACUCAGACGUCUUCAUUUAUUUCAACUGGAGAAUGUACCUGCUGCUUCGUUUGCUGCUAAUGCUAGGCUUUGUGAGAAAAGGAAUCUUACAAACCUAUUCUUGUGCUGCACCAGCAAACUGGGAGAUGAUGGGUUGCUCAUAGAGAAAGAAGGUGUCUCUAUUGGAGAGCAGGAAAGAAACGAGAAGGUGUUUGAUGAGCUCUGCCCUCCACCCAGUAUAGUUGAUCUUUCUAUCCAAGGGUAUUUUGGCCAGCAACUCCCGAGUUGGAUGAUGUCUACGUCAAUGGUGCCCCUCAACAACUUGAAGUAUCUAUGGUUUGAUCACCUGGUUUGUUGCACACAACUUCCCAAUGGGUUGUGUCAGCUCCCCUACCUGCAGAUCCUUCAUGUCAACCGCGCUCCAUGCAUCAGGCGUGUUGGGACUGAAUUCUUGCAGGCGGCGGCAGCUCCAUUUCCAAGGUUAAACGUGAUGAAGUUAAUUGGAAUGGUGGAAUGGGAGGAUUGGGAGUGGGAGGAGCAAGUACAGGCCAUGCCCCGUCUGGAGACGCUUUUGCUCGGUAAUUGCAAACUGAGACGUGCUCCUCCUGGGCUUGCCUCCAAUGCAAGGGGUUUGAAGAUUUUAAUUGUAAGAGGCGUCCAUCACCUCAACUACCUUGAGAGCUUUUCUUCUGUUGUUGAGCUUACGGUGCAUGCAUGCCCUGACCUCGAGAGGAUCACUAAUCUCCCCAAUCUGCAAAAGCUCACCAUCAAAGGUUGCCCAAAGUUGAAGAUGCUAGAGAGUAUCCCUGCACUCGAGUGGUUGGUUCUGGAGAAUUACGCCAUCGAAGAACUUCCAGAAUACAUGCGAGAUAUAAACCCAAGGCAUUUGCAGCUGCUCUGCAGGAUAUGGUUGGUAUCUUCGCUAGCCGCGGGACAAUCUGGUCCUGAGUGGGACAAGUUCAGCCAUGUGGAUCAUGUCCAGGCAUAUGCACGUGAUGGAAACAACCAAAGGAAAUGGUAUGUGUUGUACACAAGAAGAGACAACUUCAAAUUGGAUUCAAAUAUUAGCAGCAGCUCUACCAUUUUUCAAGAAAAUUUAUCAUCUUCUAUUGUGGAUGCUCUAGGAUUUGAGUCUGUGUGCAAAAUGAGAAGAAGUACCUUCAGUUACAUCUGCAGCUUGGUGAGGAUCCCAUUUUUUGAAGAUAUGAUGUCAAGGGAUCAGGAUCACACCUUUGUUGACGGGAGAGAGCUGUCUUUACAAGAUCGAGCAUUUGUCGCUUUGGCAAUGCUGAACUCAGGUGCCUCACCUGUUACCGUAGGAUUCUCUCUUGGUGUGAAUGAGUCAACUGUCUUGCUGGUAACUCAAGUGUUUGUUGAGGCUAUGUAUGUGCGAGCAAUGCAUCACUUGCAUUGGCCAGGCUACACUAAAAUGGAGAAGAUCAAGCGCAAGUUUGACAAAAUCCAUGGCCUGCCAAACUGCUGUGGUGUUAUACAUACAGCUCACAUCAAAUUUGGGUCACAAAACCGUGACCGCGAGGAGAAUGAUGUCAUCUUAAUGCAAGCUCUGGUUGAUCCAGAUAUGAGGUUCACAAACAUUUGGUUGGGGUUGCCAGGUAGCAUGAUGAACCAAUUGAGCAUUUUGCAUGACUCUAAUCUUUUUAAGAUGGGUGAGAAGGGUACUUUGCUGAAUGGCAACAAGCUGAAGGUAUCAUCAGGUGGUGGAUUGGAAGUCGGGGAAUACAUAAUUGGUGGUGCAGGAUAUCCUCUUCGUCCUUGGCUCCUCACGCCUUACCAGUUAGAGAAUGACCUCUCAGACUUGGACUCCAAAGUGGAGUUCAAUAGGAGACACUUUGCAGCUAUAGCCGUCGUGCUGAGGGCACUGGCACGGUUGAGAGGCACACACAAGUGCCUUCGUGGAGAAGGACCACAUCUAAAUAAUCAGGGUUACAUGUUUUCGAUAAUCUAUGUGUGCUGCAUGUUGAAUAACAUAGUGAUAGACAUGGAGGAGGAGCAGAGUGCAGGCAUUGAGGAAAAGUAUUACGUCGGGCAAGUGCGUCAGAUUGCAGAUGAGGAUGCCGUCAGGAUGAGGGAUGUACUAUCCCAGCACCUGAUCGGAUCUAGAGAAACCUUAUCAUCUUGUAUGGUUGGCGCACAAGGAUUUGAGUUGCUGUAUAAAAUGAGAAGAAGUACCUUUAGUUAUAUCUGCAGCUUGGUGAGAGUGCCAUUUUUGGAAGAUAUGAUGGCAAGGGUUCACAUGUUUGUUGAUGGGAGAGUAUUGUCUUUACAAGAUCGAGUAGCUGUCGCUCUGGUAAUGCUGAACUCUGGUGUGUCACCUGUUACCGUAGGACUAUCCCUUGGUGUGAACGAGACAACUGUCUCGCUGGUAACUCAGGUGUUUGUUGAAGCUAUGUGCGAGCGAGCAAUGCACCACUUGCGUUGGCCAGGCUCCGCUAAAAUGGAGAAGAUCAAGCGCAAGUUUGAUAAGAUCCAUGGCCUCCCAAAUUGCUGUGGUGUUGUGCAUACAGCCCACAUCAAAUUUGGAAUGCAAAACUGUGACCAUGAGGAGAAUGAUGGCAUCCUAAUGCAAGCUCUCAUUGAUCCAGAUAUGAGGUUCACAAACAUUUGUUUGGGGCUGCCAGGUAGCAUGAUGAACAAAUUGAGCGUUUUGCACGACUCUGAUCUUUUCAAGAUGGGCGAGAAGGGUACUUCGCUGAAUGGUAACAAGCUGAAGGUAACAUCAGGUGGAGGAUUAGAAAUUGGGGAAUACAUAAUUGGUGAUGCAGGAUAUCCUCUUCGUCCCUGGCUCCUCACACCUUACCAGUUGGAGAAUGAUCUCUCAGAUUCAGACUCCAAAGUGGAAUUCAACAGGAGACACUCUGCAGCUACAGCCGUCAUGCUGAGGGCGCUGGCAAGCUUGAAGGACACAUGGAAGUGCCUGCAGGGAGAAGGGUGGCAUCCAAAUAAUAAACGUGGCAUGCACUUGACAACCGGCACAUGCGUCAUUUUGCAUAACAUACUGAUAGACAUGGAGAAAGACGAGGGUGCAGGCAUGCCAAGCAAUCAGGAGGAGAAUUACGUCAAGCAAAUGCGGCAGGUUGCAGAAGAGGACGUCAUCAGGGUGAGGGAUGCACUGUCCCAGCACUUGAUCGAAAAUGGAGAAACCUUAUCAUCUUGUAUGGUGGGCGCACAAGGAUUUGAGUUGGUGUAUAAAAUGAGAAGAAGUACCUUCAGUUACAUCUGCAGCUUGGUGAGGGUGCCAUUUCUGGAAGAUAUGAUGGCAAGGGAUCACAAAUUUGUUGAUGGGAGAGUGCUGUCUUUACAGGAUCGAGUAGCGAUUGCUCUGAGAAUGCUUAACUGUGGUGAGCCACCGGCCACCGUGGGAUCCUCUCUUGGUGUGGACGAGUCAACCGUCUCGUUGGUAACUCACAGGUUUGUUGGAGCGUGGGCGCGAGCAUUUCACCACAUAAGCUGGCCUGGCUCUGCUAAACUGGAGAAGAUCAAGAGCAAGUUCGACAAGAUACACGGCUUGCCAAACUGUUGUGGUGUUGUACAUACAGCUCAAAUCACAUUUGGAUCAGAGAACAGUGGCCAUGAAGAAAAUGUUGGCAUGCUAAUGCAAGUGGUCGUUGAUCCAGAUUUUAGGUUCUCAUUCAUUUGGUUGGGGCCAUCAGGUAGUAUGAACCAAUUGAGUGUUUUGUAUGACUCUUCGCUCUUCAAGUCCUGCCAGGAGGGUACUGCACUGAAUGGCAGUAAGCUGAACUUAUCAGAUGGCUCGGAAAUCGGGGAGUACAUCAUUGGUGAUGCAGGAUACCCUCUUCUCCCCUGGCUCCUCACACCUUACCACCUGCAAGAGAAAGACCUGUCUGCAGAUUUUCCUCCUUAUCAAGCCGAGUUCAACAGGAGACACUCUUCAGCAUCAACCAUCACGCUGGCUGCGCUGACCAGGUUGAAAGACACUUGGAAGAUCCUGGACAGAGCGGUUGGCUCAUGUCCACCUUUUGAAACAAUCUAUGCGUGCUGCGUGUUACAUAAUAUAGUGAUAGACAAGGAGGAAGAGGAAGAUGGUGCAGGCAUGCCAAUCAAUCAGGAGAAUUACAUCAAGCAAGUGCGGCGGGUAGCAGAUGAGGACGCCAUCAGGGUGAGGGAUUCACUGUCCCAGCACUUGAUCGAAUCUGGAGUUCACACAAAGGCUGCAGAGGAGGAACAAGAAGCAGCAGCAACUGUAUCUGGUUCAGGAGAUGGAAACAAGGAACAGGAAGCAGACUGA
rnacentral:rRNA from 1 species